rnacentral:rRNA from 1 species
GACGAACGCUGGCGGCGUGCUUAACACAUGCAAGUCGAACGGACAGGCCCUGCGUUUGUGGCGUUCUCGAGUGGCGAACGGGUGAGUAACACGUGAGUAACCUGCCCUUGACUUUGGGAUAACUUCAGGAAACUGGGGCGAAUACCGGAUAUGAUCUCCUGCUGCAUGGGGGGGGUUGGAAAGUUUCGGCGGUAGUGGAUGGACUCGCGGCUUAUCCGCUUGUUUGUGGGGUAGUGGCUUACCAAGGCUUUGACGGGUAGCCGGCAUGAGAGGGUGACCGGCCACCUGGGGACUGAGAUACGGACCAGACGGCUACGGGAGGCAGCAGUGGGGAAUAUUGCACAACGGGCGGGAGCCUGAUGCAGCGACGCCGCGUGCGGGAUGAUGGCCUUCGGGUUGUAAACCGCUUUCGCCUGUGACGAAGCGGGAGUGACGGUAAUGGGUCAAGAAGCACCGGCUAACUACGUG